CUGGUUGAUCCUGCCAGACCCGACUGCUAUCGGAUUGGGACUAAGCCAUGCGAGUCAACUCCGCAAGGGGUGGCGCACGGCUCAGUAACACGUAGUCAACCUACCCUGGGGACGGGGAUAACCUCGGGAAACUGAGGCUAAACCCCGAUGGGCCAUGGCUCCUGGAAUGGGCUAUGGCUGAAAUCUACAUGGCCCCAGGAUGGGACUGCGGCCGAUCAGGUUGUUGGUGGGGUAAUGGCCCACCAAGCCUAUAACCGGUGCGGGCUCUGAGAGGAGGAGCCCGGAGAUAGGCACUGAGACAAGGGCCCAGGUCCUAUGGGGCGCAGCAGGCGCGAAACCUCCGCAAUGGGCGAAAGCCCGACGGGGUCAGUCCGAGUGGUUCCCGCUGAGGGAACCUUUUGCCAGCUGUAAACAGGCUGGCGAAUAAGGGGUGGGCAAGUUUGGUGUCAGCCGCCGCGGUAAUACCAGCACCCCGAGUGGUCGGGACGAUUAUUGGGCCUAAAGCAUCCGUAGCCGGCCCAGUAAGUCCUCCGUUAAAUCCAACGGCUCAACCGUUGGGCUGCGGGGGAUACUGCUGGGCUAGGGGACGGGAGAGGCGAGGGGUAUUCCCGGGGUAGGAGUAAAAUCCACUGAUCCCGGGAGGACCACCAGUGGCGAAGGCGCCUCGCUAGAACGUGCCCGACGGUGAGGGAUGAAAGCUGGGGGAGCGAACCGGAUUAGAUACUCGGGUAGUCCCAGCCGUAAACGAUGUAGGCUCGGUGUUGGGCUGCCUCAGUGGCAGCCCAGUGCCGCAGGGAAGCCGUUAAGCCUACCGCCUGGGGAGUACGGCCGCAAGGCUGAAACUUAAAGGAAUUGGCGGGGGAGCACCAC
rnacentral:rRNA from 1 species